rnacentral:misc_RNA from 1 species
UUUCCGUAGGUGAACCUGCGGAAGGAUCAUUAAUGAGUUGUCAUGGGGUUCGAUGCUGGCAGCCAAUUUUUGGAUGCAUGUGCUUGCCCUAACAAUCAUCUUCCAAACACCUGCGCACAUUUUUGAGGGAGUCUUGAGUUGGUUGCCGCUCUUGGGUGAUUUUCUCACAUUCCCUUAAAUCAUUAUACGCUAUUAACAAUGUUGAACGUGCUCUGUGCCGCAAGGCUAUUAAUAUAAUACAACUUUUAACAACGGAUCUCUUGGUUCUG